rnacentral:piRNA from 1 species
AUGUCUUUGAAAAUGUUGGUGGA